rnacentral:rRNA from 1 species
UACGUAGGGGGCAAGCGUUGUCCGGAUUUACUGGGCGUAAAGAGCGUGUAGGCGGCCACGCAGGUCCGUUGUGAAAACUGGAGGCUCAACCUUCAGACGUCGACGGAAACCGUGUGGCUAGAGUCCGGAAGAGGAGAGUGGAAUUCCUGGUGUAGCGGUGAAAUGCGCAGAUAUCAGGAAGAACACCAAUGGCGAAGGCAGCUCUCUGGGACGGUACUGACGCUGAGACGCGAAAAGCGUGGGGAGCGAACAGG